rnacentral:ncRNA from 2 species
ACGAUGCACCGGGGUCAGUGAAAGUCUGAACCGGCGGUAACAGUCCGCGAACCACGCAAGUGGCCGAUGGGGUGGAAUUCCCCAACCGACGGUAACAGUCCGGAUGGGAGGCGCAUCGA